rnacentral:rRNA from 1 species
UACGUAGGGGGCAAGCGUUGUCCGGAAUCAUUGGGCGUAAAGCGCGCGUAGGCGGCCCGGUAAGUCCGUUGUGAAAGUCAAAGGCUCAACCUUUGAACGCCGAUGGAUACUGCCGGGCUAGAGUCCGGAAGAGGCGAGUGGAAUUCCUGGUGUAGCGGUGGAAUGCGCAGAUAUCAGGAGGAACACCAAUAGCGAAGGCAGCUCGCUGGGACGGUACUGACGCUGAGGCGCGAAAGCUAGGGGAGCGAAUGGG